rnacentral:rRNA from 1 species
UACAGAGGGGGCAAGCGUUGUUCUGAAUUACUGGGCGUAAAGGGCGCGUAGGCGGCCUUCUAAGUCGAACGUGAAAUCCCCGGGCUCAACCCGGGAACUGCGUCCGAUACUGGAAGGCUUGAAUCCGGGAGAGGGAUGCGGAAUUCCAGGUGUAGCGGUGAAAUGCGUAGAUAUCUGGAGGAACACCGGUGGCGAAGGCGGCAUCCUGGACCGGCAUUGACGCUGAGGCGCGAAAGCCAGGGGAGCAAACGGG